UAGGAUUAGAGGGAUUAUGCCUUGUUAAUCCUAAAAGUUUCCACUUGUUUAAUGCUUAUAUUUACACAACAAAAAAAACAGUCAUAUUCAGGCUGGGAUGAGGAAUACCUUUGGAAAGAAUUGAUAUACAUGUAUCAUAAUAUGUUAUGUAGGUUUCCAUUUCUAAGACUACAAUCAACCUAAAUAUGCAUGAACUAUUUGCCACUGGACAUUAAUCAACCAACAAUCAAUCAAAUCUUAGACUACAAAAUCACCCUGUCAUUGAGUCAACAGACUUUAAAUUCAAUGUAUUACUGCCCAGAGUCAUUUCCAAAACUCUCAUACAUAGUCUUUUUGUCUUGACUGCAACAAAAGUUGCAGAAAGCUAAACAUAGGGACUGGUGUCAAUUGUUUAGUUCUAAAGGAACUACUUGUGACAGAUCAUAGAUGUUUAAUAUGAAGUUGUAUAACUAUCAGUACAUAUCAGGUUGACAGAUCAUAGAUAUUUAAUAUAAAGUUACAUAACUAUCAGUACAUAUCAGGUUGAUGCCUAUUUCAAGGCCCUGCUCCCUAGAUCAUGAUCCUGGCGACUUUCAUAAUAAUUAGCACUUUUUCUGUGAUAAGUUUUCUGCUCAAAUUAGUUUGAUGGAAAUACAUCAACAAUUGUUUAGUAUUCUGCUUAAGUAACUGUAAAUUCAGUAAUUAUUGCAUACAUUUAUUAUUGUGAUUUUGUCAUUUUCGUCUAAAAUGCAAUUUUAAUUUGUGCAAUAUUGAGAAAAAUCUUUUAUAACAAAUUUCAAAAUGUGAGUUAAAACUAUUGUGAUUAUAACCCUGUCACAUUUUUUGUAAUAAUAAAUACAUCACAAUAAUUUGUGAUUUUACAGUAGUAUGAUAGGAACUACUUGUGAUAGACCAUAGAUAUUUAAUAUGAAGUUGUAUUACUAUUAGUACAUAUCAGGUUGACAGAUCAUAGAUAUUUAAUAUAAAGUUACAUAACUAUUAGUACAUAUCAGGUUGAUGCCUAUUUCAAGGCCCUGCCCCCU
rnacentral:lncRNA from 1 species